rnacentral:miRNA from 1 species
CUUCCGAUCAGGGAGGUACAUCUACCUCGUUGACCGGAAGAGUUUCCUUCCGGUCAAAGAGGGUACAUCCUCGUUGAUCGGGAGGAACCCCUUCCGAUCAAAGAGGUAGAUGUACCUCCCUGAUUGGAAG